AUUGAACGCUGGCGGCAUGCCUUACACAUGCAAGUCGAACGGCAGCACGGGAGCUUGCUCCUGGUGGCGAGUGGCGAACGGGUGAGUAAUGCAUCGGAACGUACCCGGAAGUGGGGGAUAACGUAGCGAAAGUUACGCUAAUACCGCAUAUUCUGUGAGCAGGAAAGAGGGGGAUCGCAAGACCUCUCGCUUUCGGAGCGGCCGAUGUCGGAUUAGCUAGUUGGUGGGGUAAAGGCCUACCAAGGCGACGAUCCGUAGCGGGGCUGAGAGGAUGAUCCGCCAAACUGGAACUGGGACACGGUCCAGACUCCUACGGGAGGGAGCAGUGGGGAAUUUUGGACAAUGGGCGAAAGCCUGAUCCAGCCAUGCCGCGUGAGUUAAGAAGGCCUUCGGGUUGUAAAGCUCUUUCGGCUGAAAAGAAAUCGCACAGGCUAAUACCCUGUGUGGAUGACGGUAUCAGCAUAAGAAGCACCGGCUAACUACGUGCCAGCAGCCGCCGUAACAC
rnacentral:rRNA from 1 species